rnacentral:lncRNA from 1 species
CUAAGAUGCUAUUUUCAGCAGGUCACUAUAAACGCUUUCUACUCUGAAGCACACAGGGGCUGGGGCUGGCCUUCGGAGUUACGAGGAAACGAGGACCAGGACCAGGGAUUCUGCAUCAGCACAGCCGCCAGGAGCCGGCCGGGGCCCCAUCCCUGACACUGCUGUCGCCCGGCUGUACCUGGGUGCUGUGUCCGCGGGGCGUCUGGAGACGUCGAUGUGGUCAUAGCAGGGCCUGGAACGGGGAGGUCUGGCCUGAACUAGAGAAAUGAGGGGCGUAUCCGCUUCUCCACCCUGGCCUCAGAUGAAGAGGCUCUGGGGGCAGGAGGGAGUCAGACACGUGCAGGGCAGGCGGCCUGUGCAGGGCCCAACCCUCCGGCACCAGAACCUGACCUCCUCAGAGGCCCCCACCAUGGAGGGAUGUCUGGGGGAUGCUGUGCGCUGCCGCUACGAUGUUUGGUUAGAGAUUAAAGCCAUUUCAGAAGUGGACACCUGCCCAUGUGAUGCAAAGGGCUGGGAACCCGGUCUUGACUUUGCCUGGAAUGCCUUUCGGAAAGACCUCUGUCCCUGAGGCUGAGGGACAGUGCCUGCUCCUGCCAGGUGCCCAGCUCUUAAGCGGUCCCCAGACUCAUGCCACCUGCCCCGGGGCCUCCCCCAACUCAUUUGUUUAUUUCCCUGUUGGGAAUGUAUUGAUACCUCUAGGAUGCAAGGACGGAACCACACCUGAGGGGUGGACAGUCAGCCGGUGCCCAGCAAAUAUCUGUGGAAUUUCCUCCACACAACAGGGAAAGCGAUGGAGACAGAAACCUCUGCAGGCCCCCGAGGGCACCCACUUCCCUGACCCCGUCCACCUCCCUGACCCCCGCCCACCUCCCUGAUCCCCAUCCCGCAAGCUGGGCCUAGGGUAUCGGUGGCCUGGCUGGUCAUGCCCUGGGCGCCAGCGCCUGUUCAGGAGGUGAAGGGUUUAUCUCAGCUUGGCCCAUGACUGCGUUGAAGGACAGGAGGGAGCGGCUGUGGCUGUGGCUGGAAUCUGAAGCCGGUGCGGGCGGCCAGGGCCUUUCCCUGGGUGGUGACGAGCGAGGACCAGAGCCCUGUCUGCCCGAGGGAAGGGCGAGGGGACACUCCCCGUGGCGGGGGUGGGAUCCCGGUAGCCGGGGCUCAGUGACCGCUGCCUGGGCCACCGCCUGUGGGGACCUGACCUUCCUGGGGAAACCCAUGGGUCAAAGGAGCCGAGAAAUCCAAGCACCAAGUGGCCGCUAUGGCAGGACGGGCGCGUUCGCAGUGGAGAAGCUGGGUGUGUCCGUGGGAAAGGAAAGAAAUGGAAGCAGAGGCUCUUCAGGGGCACCUGGGAACGCAGCCUACACUCUUCCCAGGCCUCCUCCCUCCGUCCACUGUGCCGCCUGGGUCCUGGGACAGCCUGAGGGCCGCAGGCUCCCAUGCAAGGCCCGCUGGGGGCCUGCUUGUCUGGGGCUGAAUUUGGACUUUAUGGGGCUAUGGCUUUAAUUUCACAAUGACCGAUAACCAGUGAACUGAAGCCAGGACAGCACCGUGAGCACCAAGUCAGAGAAUUUUCACGAGGGAACCAAUGAACAGGAACAGAGUGUGAGGCUGCCCCAGCUGCAUCCUCCGGGAGGCGCCUUCCCAAGGGAGUGCAAGGCUGCCUGCUGUGGCCAGGCCACCAAAGCACCUUCUUCACCGCCAGGCAUCUUUUGAGGCACGCGAACAUCAGAGGCCCCAGCCACGUGCUCUGGAGGAGAAGCUGAGAGCCCCAGGCCACAGGCAGGGCAGCCUCUGAGGGCCGGCUCAGGGAGAGUGGCCGGAGCUUCUGGCCUGGGGCAGGUGGACCCGUUAGAAACUGCAUGUGUUGCCUCUGGCACCAGCCACAGCAAGAGAUUCUCUUCCUAUCACACAGGGAACAAACUCAAGGAUCUUGACCUUGCCCUCCUCUCCCCAGCUGGCCGCACUUGGGGACGCUGAUGCCACAAAGGAAAUAACCAAAACAAGAUAACUCUAUUGGGCGGCGGGAACAGAAAGGAACAUGUAGCAAUCACUCCUCUUCAUCCAUGCAAGGAAGCGAGGCGACGCCUUGAAAAGGACGGCCUUCUUUGCUGCAAAUAGCCAGAAGUGAACUGAGCAAAGGAAGCACGGGACGCACAGGAAGAAAAGUGCUCCAAGGGACGGACAGGACGGUGCCGGGGUUAGGAAAGCGCAACACUGUUCAGACACAGUCUCCGAUAUAUGAAUGGCAAGCCCAGUUAAAAAUAUCUAAAGGGCUUUUUUAGGUUUUUAAGAAUAUUUUUAAGGUUUAGUUUUAUUAAAAAAUAAGCAAGACAACCAGAAAAAAGACUGAGGAGGGCAUAGGAGACCCACCCGCGUGCAUGAGGCCGAGUCUAAAGCUGUGGCCACGGCCUGUGGAAACCCGGCAGAAAAUCUCCCAAAUACCCAGCAUAUGAGGACGGCAGCAGGUGAGGCACUGGGGUGAGACAGACUCAAAUGUGUGGUGUUGGGGCAGGAACUGAGCCUGCAGUCUAGAUCCCCACCUCAUCCAUCACGUCAAAAGAAAUUACGGGCGGGUCACAGAUGAAAACACCUAACAGCAGGUAACUGUUUUGUAAUCUUGGGGAGAAGCCUAAAGCCCAGGAACUAAGAGAGUAUAACAAGUGUGAAUACAGAAUUUAAAAGAAGAGACUGGUUUAGCAAUCACUAAGAUAAAACACGCGUGACAGGAUCUGCUUGUCUCCUCUGAGCACGCAGGAGCCUCUGCCCCAAAUGCAGACAUUGGGCCCUACGUGGCACCUGGCUACUGUGCAUGGUUGCAGGUCAGGGCAGGCCGGGCCACAGGGCAGGGCCACCCUCCCAUUCCCAUGUUUACACUGAGCAUUUCCUCUGCCUGUGUCUCUUGGGCUGGGGUCUGUGAUACAAGUCCGGGAGGCCAGAGACGCCCACGGACAGUGCGUGGGGCUUGGGGAGCGGGACUGAGCCACCUCUGACUCCUUCUGCUGACUGGGAUCCAGCUCCAAAGCCAUGCCUGGGAAGAGACUCCUGCCUCUCCCAGGAUGACUCCGUCCCGCCACGCCUCUGCUCUCAGCGCCCACAGGGACUCACCAAGCUGGACUUUCAUCUAAAACUAGACACACGUGACGCCAGCGGACCACAGACCCAGUGCAAGGGGAGCUGUGUGGGUUGUGCUGAAGGUAUGUUAAAAUUCAUACAGGACACCCAAAACAAUCAAUCUUAUUGCAUGAUAAUUUU